ensembl:snRNA U1 U1 spliceosomal RNA
GUACUUACCUGACAAGGGAUGUUCUGUGACCACAAAAAUGGUUUUCCAGGGUCCAUCCUACUCCACAUAUGCCAACCCCUGUGAUUUCUCAGAAUACAGGAAGUUUGAUACAUAAUUUAUGAUAGUUGAGGAUUACACUCACAUAUUCUCUUA